ensembl:lncRNA
AGAUUAUUCACUUCAGGGAUUUUAUUUUGAAAUCAGCAAGGGCUUUUAAUUGUUGGAGCAAACUAGAAACGGUGGUGGGGAGUUAUUCUGGCUGGUUCUGAACGCUGGAGAUCGGUGGGCUCUCUCCAACUCGGGCGGUGUUGGGAAUACAUCUGGGCCCAUCAUUUGCAUUAGCAGCUCUGCCAUGAACUUGAGCGGGUCUUUGCUGUUUUCCCUGCCUUCGGGGAUGUUCAAUAUGCGGGGAUUGGAUCUUCGUGAGCGGUUCUCGAGGUCCUCGAGUUGAUCCAGAAGACUUUGGUUCUGAAUACGCAGUGAUUCCACAGUGGAUUCGGCUGCCGUUAGCCGCUCGAUGUUCUCCUGGCCACGGACUCAACCGAAGUAAGGGGUCUGAAAAGAGUUGACUGCGGCUUGUAGUGAUUCAGUUGAGACUUGUAGUGGUUUAACUGCUUCUUGGAUCAGGAGAGAGAGAGAGAUCCUCCUUGAGUGAGAACCUCUGCUUUGUAAAUUCAGUGGACAGUUGAUCCGCUGUAACGAGCGGAGCAGGUGCGGGUUCUUCCAGCAUGGCAGCAGUCCAUGAACUCGCUGCGGACGUGUUAGCAAAUGAGGCUAACUUUCCUGCAGCACUGGCAGUGACACGCGUAGCCAGAGCCAUUUUCUCCAGUGCUAUGAGCCAGUAUUUUCUGAACUGCUGAUUGGCUGAGGGCAGUGCACUGAAUUUGAUAGGAGUUAGGAAUCUAUCCUGUAACUGGUGCCCAGUGACUCAGAGAUCACGACCACAGCUCCAGGCUGCUGUAAACUGGCUUUUGUUUUUUUAAACCCUCCAGUUUCACCGACAUGUACUGAAAACUUCAAUAUAUAGCAGAAAAUUAAUAUGGAGGAGGAGAAACACCAACAUAUGCACGACUAGAAUGGAAACACUCUGCUUAAGAUUACUGAACAGCUUACCAGCACGUUAUAAUCUGUACUCACACACUGGAGGAGAGCGGAGAUCACUGCCUUUAACAGCACAGCUGUAGCUGACCGCUUCACUGACCACAGCUACAGGGCAGGAGGCAGAUUCACACUCAGAUACAGGCUGUCCGUUCCUGUACCAGAUGUAGGUGGGGUUGUUGGGCAGAGUGCAGGUGGAGCUACAGGUCAGUGUUACUGUCUGUCCCUCUGACGCUGUGACUGCAGGACCUUCCACUUUCACCUGCAGGACUUUAUCAAAAA